GAUGAACGCUGGCGGCGUGCCUAAUACAUGCAAGUCGAGCGAACAGAUGAGGAGCUUGCUCCUCUGACGUUAGCGGCGGACGGGUGAGUAACACGUGGAUAACCUACCUAUAAGACUGGGAUAACUUCGGGAAACCGGAGCUAAUACCGGAUAAUAUAUUGAACCGCAUGGUUCAAUAGUGAAAGACGGUUUUGCUGUCACUUAUAGAUGGAUCCGCGCCGCAUUAGCUAGUUGGUAAGGUAACGGCUUACCAAGGCAACGAUGCGUAGCUGACCUGAGAGGGUGAUCGGCCACACUGGAACUGAGACACGGUCCAGACUCCUACGGGAGGCAGCAGUAGGGAACCUUCCGCAAUGGGCGAAAGCCUGACGGAGCAACGCCGCGUGAGUGAUGAAGGUCUUCGGAUCGUAAAACUCUGUUAUUAGGGAAGAACAAAUGUGUAAGUAACUAUGCACGUCUUGACGGUACCUAAUCAGAAAGCCACGGCUAACUACGUG
rnacentral:rRNA from 1 species